AUGAACGCUGGCGGCGUGCCUAAUACAUGCAAGUCGAGCGAACAGACGAGGAGCUUGCUCCUCUGACGUUGGCGGCGGACGGGUGAGUAACACGUGGAUAACCUACCUAUAAGCCUGGGAUAACUUCGGGAAACCGGAGCUAAUACCGGAUAAUAUAUUGAACCGCAUGGUUCAAUAGUGAAAGACGGUUUUGCUGUCACUUAUAGAUGGAUCCGCGCCGCAUUAGCUAGUUGGUAAGGUAACGGCUUACCAAGGCAACGAUGCGUAGCCGACCUGAGAGGGUGAUCGGCCACACUGGAACUGAGACACGGUCCAGACUCCUACGGGAGGCAGCAGUAGGGAAUCUUCCGCAAUGGGCAAAAGCCUGACGGAGCAACGCCGCGUGAGUGAUGAAGGUCUUCGGAUCGUAAAACUCUGUUAUUAGGGAAGAACAAAUGUGUAAGUAACUAUGCACGUCUUGACGGUACCUAAUCAGAAAGCCACGGCUAACUACGUG
rnacentral:rRNA from 1 species